GUAGCUGGUCAGGAGUGGGGAGUUAACGUGCUUAAUCGAGACUAGAGUCACAUCCUGACAUGGCACUUGUCCUGGUGUGCUAGAGUUCUCGUAGAAAAUCUGCUGGUCUUGAUUCACUGGUAGG
rnacentral:miRNA from 14 species